GACGUAGGGCGCGAGCGUGUCCGGAUUUAUUGGGCGUAAAGAGCUCGUAGGCGGCUUGUUGCGUCGGCUGUGAAAACCCGUGGCUUAACUGCGGGCUUGCAGCUGAUACGGGCGGGCUGGAGUUCGGUAGGGGAGACUGGAAUUCCUGGUGUAGCGGUGAAAUGCGCAGAUAUCGUAAGGAAGACCAGUGGCGAAGGCGGGUCUCUGGACAGUUCCUGACGCUGAGGCACGAAGGCCAGGGGAGCAAACGGG
rnacentral:rRNA from 1 species